ensembl:scaRNA
CCUAGAGGACUAAGAAGGCAGAGCUUGUUGAGCAGGGCUCUUGCCGAUACGAUCCUCUUAGAGAAAACAGGAUGGAGAGAGGGGUCCAACUUCUAGAAGAGGAAAGACCUCACUGUGCCGUCCGACAACA